UGUUUAUUCAUUUGGUCUGAACUUGAGUUUCUUACCUCUUUAAUAAUUUAAGUCGUACAUGCUUCUUUGUAGAUUUAUGUACCUUCUUAUCUGAUCAUUAAACUCCGAACAAAUAAAAUACUGGUAGUAUUUGUUUAGUAAAAUUUAAUGUUUCCUCGAAAAUGUGAGUGGAUACGAAAUGUUUCUUCACCAUGAAUACUCGAAUUGAAGUAAAAUCUUAGAUAUGUUUAUUUUUUUAAAUGCACAUGUGCACAUAAAAUGUUUCUUGUUGUAUUUAGUUUACUUUCAUUGCAUAUGUAGGUAAUGGAAUUAGUUUUAUUCAAUUUUUUGAGUAUUGUUAUCAAUAAUAAGUAUCAUUUUUGAAAGAAAAUAUGAUAAGUAAUAUUCAUGCAGAGUUGUAUGUUGGUGUGGUGACAUUUUAAAAUAAAAGUUAUGGAUUCAC
rnacentral:misc_RNA from 1 species